rnacentral:lncRNA from 1 species
AACUCCCCCAGCCUUUUCUUGUGCACUCCUGAGAUGCAGCGACAAUUGUGUCAGCUCUCCACAAAUGCAAUGAACUGCCAUUUGCAGAUUUGUGCGUCGGCCGGUGCCGUCACUCUUGUUCUCCAGACGGUACGUUUCAUUGUCCAACAUCCGCUGCAAGCAUGGAUCGUUUCUGUACCACAGAUCCUGGAGAUACUGUUCUUUGGUUGCCUACUGUGUUUGUCUGCAGCUGGUAAGUGGAACACGUGCGCGUUACGUCCGUCCCAGCUGCUUGUUGAUGGCUAUGUGCACGCGUGGGACUGAAUUGUGCGUCAAGCCUGCAACUGCAAGGGAAGAGACGGAGACCACAAACUCCAUAAAGCGGUUGGGCCUGUCUGGCGUCUGCUUACAGCUGGAUAGAGCUGACGGCAACUUGCUGCAAGUGACCAAUGUAGAGACACCGUAAAACGUUUUCGCUGGCAGGAGGCCAGGGCUAUUUUCGAAAAGCCCAUGAAUUCGAGGUCGUCCGUUCUCUGCAUGGAGGCCUGGUGCGACUCGUCUUCUCGUCUUCUAUGUAGCUGUUCGUGGAAGUCCCAGGUAGGAAUCCGACACAGUCUACUCUUUCGGGUGUGCGGCCGCAAUAUAGAUUGCGUAUAUGUGAUAUGCCUAGCAAUAUCUUGUUUUGGAAUCAAUGCACUUUUCUCGGUGGUGGCACGUCAGUUGAUUGAAAGGGCAGAUGCCAUGUUUUGAAUGAAUCUGUCAUUCGAUACUACAUACCUUGCUGACUGCACGUUCCUCGUGCACUUACGCUUUCUGUAACGAUGCAGCUGGGUUUCUAACAGGAAUUGUUUUGAUUUUGCCUUGAGCUCUAUCAUCGCAGACAUGUUGGCGACACCAUUCUUGGCAGCACAUGACCUAGAUUGCCCGCAAUGGUGCAACAACGCCCACAAGCACAUCCUGAGAGAGGUUGGUCUUCAUGCAAAUGACCAUGAAGACAACUCUCUUUUCUCCGAUGUCAACUGGCU